rnacentral:rRNA from 1 species
AUUGAACGCUGGCGGCAUGCUUUACACAUGCAAGUCGAACGGUAACAGGUUAAGCUGACGAGUGGCGAACGGGUGAGUAAUGCAUCGGAACGUGCCCGGUCGUGGGGGAUAACGCAGCGAAAGCUGCGCUAAUACCGCAUACGAUCUAAGGAUGAAAGCGGGGGACCGUAAGGCCUCGCGCGAUCGGAGCGGCCGAUGUCAGAUUAGGUAGUUGGUGGGGUAAAGGCUCACCAAGCCAACGAUCUGUAGCUGGUCUGAGAGGACGACCAGCCACACUGGGACUGAGACACGGCCCAGACUCCUACGGGAGGCAGCAGUGGGGAAUUUUGGACAAUGGGCGAGAGCCUGAUCCAGCAAUGCCGCGUGCGGGAAGAAGGCCUUCGGGUUGUAAACUGCUUUUGUACGGAGCGAAAAGGUCUCCUCUAAUACAGGGGGCUCAUGACGGUACCGUAAGAAUAAGCACCGGCUAACUACGUGCCAGCAGCCGCCGUAA